rnacentral:lncRNA from 1 species
UUUGUGAAGUGUGAUUUUUAGCAAAAGUGUUUUGAAUUCAUAUUCCAUUUGAAAGAAGCUUUGAAAAUUUGUUUGAAAAAAAAGAAGAAAUCCACCUCUCUUCCCCUUCCUCUCUCUCACUGCCAGGCGGGGUCCGCUUGUCAUCACCCACCUCCUGCAACCGACCGUCUCUCUCUGUUGCUGGGUGCCGAAACCGCUCCCGCUCCCACUCCCACGUUCUCCCCCUUUGCCCGCUCCUCGCCCCUUUUGAGCAGCACCCGCACCCGAGCCCCCUCCCCGCUUGCAUUUCGCCCCUAUUUCCACUCUCACUCUCUCUUGGAAUGCGCUGCAACCGCAGGGAACGCCGCCGGAGAACGCCGUGACUUUUGCCGCAUUCAACCCGCCGAUUCGAGCCUUCUUCGCCUCCGUUCUUCGCGCUGGUGAGCUCCCCUCCUCUCCCGUAUCCUCCCCGUCUAUUUUUCUCGCGAAACGGGGCACUCCUCCAUGCCGACCACGGAGCUCCGGCGAGCUCCAUGGCCGUCGGCCAUGGCGUGUGCCGCUCGGGACCUUCCCUGGCCGCGCCAAGUGUCCCGGCGAGUUCGCCUGGCCGUCCUCUUCCUCCGCGUGCACUCGGUUUGGUCAAUCGUGGCCCGGAGUCCCAGCUCCACGAGCUCCGACGGGUCGUUCAUGGUGCCGUCGUGAACCUCCGCGGAAACCACCUCCCCGACCGUGUUUAUGGCUAGGAACGGACUCGCAUCGCUCUCCUCUCUCUCCUAGUGCUUUCGGAAUCAAAAACCGUGCACCAUAGCUUCCCAUCCGCUUGCUCCGGCGAGCCCUCAGCCGGCCGGCCAUGGUGGCCGUCGCGUUCUUGCCCACUUCCGGCAGCAGGCACCACCCCUCCCUCUCUCUUCUUUUUGUUUUUUGUUUUUUCUUUUUUUUUCUUUUAAUCCUGCGCGUUCAUCUGAGAUCCAACGGCUCAAGAUGGCCAAUACCCUUUCGGUCUGAAAUUUUGUUAAAGAGCCCCUCAACUUUUUAAAUAUUGAACCGCAGUCCCUUGCGCAUUCGAAAAAAAUACGCCUUGCUGUGUUGAAAACGUAAACUAUCGCGGCUUGCUUCAAAAUACGUUUUUCAGUAUUUACUAAAUUGCCACUGAACUUGUUUUGGCUAUAAAAUAUUCAUUUUAACUCCGAUUUGACCCGUUCAAAUUGCGUUAGAUUCGUAAUCACGAGAUCUGCGUGUUAGUAAACUUGGUUUAACAAUUUGAAACAUUUUAAUUUUGUGACCCUAUUUAAUUAAUUACUUUUCUAAAGACAAUCUUAGAAAAUUCAUAUCUUCUCUGUUUUAGCUCCGAUUCGAUCCGUUCAAGUUGCGUUAGUUUCGUAAUUUCAUAAGCGUCAUGUUGGUACCACUGUUGCCUAGGUUCACUACUGUUAGGUUUUCUAGAUAAUUACAAGUCCGUAGAUAGCCUUUGCAGUCCCGUUUAAUGCGUAGAUUUCACAUCGUAACUCCGUUUUCUGUGAAUGUUGACGUGAUCGUAGCAGUGUGUAGAUGAUUUUGGAAAACCUUUAUUUAAAUUUAUUUACUGCUGGUGUACUGUUCUAAUUAUAAUCUUGUUUGCUUCGUGUAUGUCUGUCUCCGAUUGUUUGCGUGUUGAUAAUCGAUGAUCGGGAUUAGACAGUGGGCAUUACUUCGGGCAUCAAGAUCAGAGCCUUGGAAACAAGUAAGAUCAGCAGGAGCAAUUGGAUCAAGGCAAGUAUAGCAUUUGGGUUUUAAUUCUAUAACUAUGAUCUUGUGACUAGAUUAAUAUAAAGCAACAAAUGAUAAUAAUGACUUUUUAGCAACUUGAGGAUUUAUUCGUAAGUGAUAACCGGGAUGAAAGUGCAACCAUGAGGGCUAUAAUGGCUCUGACUUUAGUCAAGUAUGAGUAAUUUUUCUAGCUUGUUAGAGGUUACCUGCGUGGCGCAAAUGGGGGAUAGCAGACCAUGGAUUCCCUGCGAGUGGUAGAAUCACACGGACUGACUACCGAAACCAAGCGGCCCUAACUUGUUAGACGAACCUUUGAAAGACUUCAUAGUGAUCCCUGCCGACCUACCUUGGUAGUGGGUUACGAGGCUGAUCACCUCAGGCGAAAUGGUAAAUCAUGACUCAUGGGUAAAGAUGUACAACCUCUGCAGAGUGUUAAAAACUGGUAUACUAGCCGUGCUCACGGUCACGAGCGGCCUUGGGAACUCUUACAUUAAGGGUGAUGAAUCUUGUGUUAAGAAACUCAUUGAUUAUUGUUUAAUGCUCUAUAUUGUUUAUGUCACAUUGAUCAUGAGAUUGUGGGAUCUAUACAAUCUAGUUGUUAUACUUGCGGAGUUCGUCUUGGACUCACUCUUGCUAUCUCCCCCACACCUCAGGAGAAGUAUUGGGCUUGUGAUCAACCAGUCAGUUGGAUCCUGUAGAGUGAGGUUAACACCCGAAGUUUUGAGUUCUCUUCCAUGUUUGCUGCCCAAGGUUGUUUCUAAUUUAUUAUCUACGCUAUAUAAUUUAUGCAUUGUCCUUUGAUAUUACCCCUUAUUUGUAGCUAUAUGUGAGGCUUGUCUUCUAAAACUCACAUAUGGUGCAUAUCUGAUUUUGUUCUUAAAAUCGGGUGUUACAAAGUGGUAUCAAAGCAAUGCUGACUGUAGGACGCAAGCCUAGUUAGAAAUUGGUCGUCUUAAGGUUUUGGAAUUGUCAUAAAAUCCUUGCUCUAUAAACUUUGAUAUUUUUCUCUACACUAUAUCCUUUCCAUUGCUAUUCAUCUUUACCUUGUUGCUUAUUUUAAAAGUACUUGUUCUCAUCUUCACUCCUUGAUUUGAUAAGCUUUUAGAAUCUUCUCAUAUCACCUGCUUAUGUAGUUGAAAGGGAAUCUUAGGAUCUUUACCCUUAAUAUGAAGAGAACUAUAGUAUCGCAAGUUGACUUGUUUGACAUGUGAACCUUUAAUGCUUAGUUGGUUUGUGAUUAUGCUUAUGUUUGAUUUGGAUCUUUGUAAUGAUUGCAAUGAUCUUGUGGAAUUACUUCACAAUUUCAUUAGUUUAUAGACCUAAGGCAUAAGGAUUAAUGAAAUAAGUAGUUGAGUUUGGCUAUCUCUUGUUUCUAUCCCUUGCUGAUUUCUGGAGCAGUUUGUAAUAUUGCUGGUGUAUCUAAAGGUCCGAUCGUGCAAAGUUUAUCAAAUUUUUCUGGAAACAACUAGACUUCAAGAUCUUUAUCUGACCGCAAGAAUCACCCUCAUAGCUAUUAUGGUUUGGAAGUUACAAAAAUCACAAGAUGAUACAGAUGUGCUGUCCAGAAUCUGGACCAGUUUCGGGAACUUGCUGUUUGAGACAAAUAUAACUAUAGAAUUUGGAGAAGUGUUCUAUAGAAAACUUUUAGAUAAGUUGCUAAGCUUUCUAACGGUAUAAGCUAUGACCCUAUUGGAUUAACAGAACAAGAGUUAUGUCCAUUAUUGCACUAGUGAUUUUCAUAUCGUGAGGAAAUUUCAGGAUAAAUGUUUCUUCCAUGCACAUAAGUUCCUUGGGAUGUCAAAAGGUCUCAAUGCAAGAUAACUUGUCUAGAAAAAGUGCAAGCUACCUUCCUUGUGCCUCCUAGUCAACCUUUCUUAAGGGGGGUAGUACCUUGAUAUCACGGGUUGAUGCAUUUUCAACUUAUCCUGAAGUGAGAGUUGUCUCUUGAGAUAUUCUAUGGAUAUGAUCAUCUCUCCUUCUCGUGUUAUUGAUGUUGGUCACUUGAUGACAGAGAGUGUAGUAUCCCAUGGAUCAGGAGCCCUAUAUGAUGCCUCUUACUAAUACGUGGGAAGAGAAUGAUGAUCCUACCCUUGAAGGAUGUUAUGAGUAUGGUGAAACCAAGUGCUAUCAAAAUAAUGAUACUCAAGAGCAAGUUGGAAGUGAAUCAAAUCAGAAUCCACAACGGCGAAAGAGAAAAAGGAAAAGCCGUAAGAAGCCUGCUCAUGGAAGUAGGGUGCAACGAGACUAUAUCAAUGGAAGACUGAGCAAUGUGGAUAGGCAUAACAUUCAUGGAGCUACCAAAGUGGUUGGUGGCUAUAUUCAAGUAGACUCAGUGCUAGUUUUUGCUCUGUUUGACCCAAGUGCUUCGCAUUCUUUCAUUUCCAUCGACCUCGUGAAGACAAUCAAGAGGGUGAAGUGUCCAACGAGGAAGCCUUUGUUAGUUCAAACCCCAGUGGGAGAAAUACAAGCAGAUCAGGUGUGCUCAAAUAUCAAUCUGGUCAUAAACAAGGAAAACUUCAGUGUAAACCUCAUUGUGUUAGAGUCACUUGGUAUUCCUUUGGUCCUUGGUAAUGGAUGGUUAUGUGCACACAAAGGAGUGAUCUAUGGUACCCACUACAAAAUGCUUUUAACAGCACCGUCAGGGAAAAGAAUUGAGUAUCACGGUGGUCCACUCCUACCUGAUGAAGCAAAUGCAUAUUAAGUUUCUAUGUCUCUUGGAGUUGUAAGAUAAGAGAAUUAGUAGUCAAGAUGGACUUCGGUCAACUAUGAAAAAUAGUUAUUCAAUGGAAAUGUUGUUCACCAGGUGUGACCUUGAGACAAGUGUUUAAGUUUGGUAUGCAAGUUGUGAAGUUGAAAGGAUUAUCAAGAUAUUUUCCUGUUUCUCUCAGAGGACCUGAGCCUCUUUCGAAUCUCGAGGACGAGAUUCAUUUUUAAGGGGGGUAGAAUUGUAACACCCUAAAUUUUGCUCUUUUGGAAAUUGAUGAAAAAUAAUUUAAUUUGCUAUUUUGUGCUCCUAAAAUAUAGAAAAAUAAUAAUAAUAAAUUUUGGGAAAUUGAAAUUUAAUAUAAGUUUAGAAACAUAUUGAUGCAUUCAUGCUGCAGCAUUUUAUUUUUGUGAAGUGUGAUUUUUAGCAAAAGUGUUUUGAAUUCAUAUUCCAUUUGAAAGAAGCUUUGAAAAUUUGUUUGAAAAAAAAAGAAGAAAUCCACCUCUCUUCCCCUUCCUCUCUCUCACUGCCAGGCGGGGUCCGCUUGUCAUCACCCACCUCCUGCAACCGUCUCUCUCUGUUGCUGGGUGCCGAAACCGCUCCCGCUCCCACUCCCACGUUCUCCCCCUUUGCCCGCUCCUCGCCCCUUUUGAGCAGCACCCGCACCCGAGCCCCCUCCCCGCUUGCAUUUCGCCCCUAUUUCCACUCUCACUCUCUCUUGGAAUGCGCUGCAACCGCAGGGAACGCCGUCGGAGAACGCCGUGACUUUUGCCGCAUUCAACCCGCCGAUUCGAGCCUUCUUCGCCUCCGUUCUUCGCGCUGGUGAGCUCCCCUCCUCUCCCGCAUCCUCCCCGUCUAUUUUUCUCGCGAAACGGGGCACUCCUCCAUGCCGACCACGGAGCUCCGGCGAGCUCCAUGGCCGUCGGCCAUGGCGUGUGCCGCUCGGGACCUUCCCUGGCCGCGCCAAGUGUCCCGGCGAGUUCGCCUGGCCGUCCUCUUCCUCCGCGUGCACUCGGUUUGGUCAAUCGUGGCCCGGAGUCCCAGCUCCACGAGCUCCGACGGGCCGUUCAUGGUGCCGCCGUGAACCUCCGCGGAAACCACCUCCCCUACCGUGUUUAUGGCUAGGAACGGACUCGCAUCGCUCUCCUCUCUCUCCUAGUGCUUUCGGAAUCAAAAACCGUGCACCGUAGCUUCCCAUCCGCUUGCUCCGGCGAGCCCUCAGCCCGGCCGGCCAUGGUGGCCGUCGCUUUCUUGCCCACUUCCGGCAGCAGGCACCACCCCUCCCUCUCUCUUCUUUUUGUUUUUUCUUUUUUCUUUUUUUUUUCUUUUAAUCCUGCGCGUUCAUCUGAGAUCCAACGGCUCAAGAUGGCCAAUACCCUUUCGGCCUGAAAUUUUGUUAAAGAGCCCCUCAAAUUUUUAAAUAUUGAACCCGCGGUCACUUGCGCAUUCGAAAAAAAAUACGCCUUGCUGUGUUGAAAACGUAAACUAUCGCGGCUUGCUUCAAAAUACGUUUUCAGUAUUUACUAAAUUGCCACUGAACUUGUUUUGGCUAUAAAAUAUUCAUUUUAACUCCGAUUUGACCCGUUCAAAUUGCGUUAGAUUCGUAAUCACGAGAUCUGCGUGUUAGUAAACUUGGUUUAACAAUUUGAAACAUUUUAAUUUUGUGACCCUAUUUAAUUAAUUACUUUUCUAAAGACAAUCUUAGAAAAUUCAUAUCUUCUCUGUUUUAGCUCCGAUUCGAUCCGUUCAAGUUGCGUUAGUUUCGUAAUUUCAUAAGCGUCAUGUUGGUACCACUGUUGCCUAGGUUCACUACUGUUAGGUUUCCUAGAUAAUUACAAGUCCGUAGAUAGCCUUUGCAGUCCCGUUUAAUGCGUAGAUUUCACAUCGUAACUCCGUUUUCUGUGAAUGUUGACGUGAUCGUAGCAGUGUGUAGAUGAUUUUGGAAAACCUUUAUUUAAAUUUAUUUACUGCUGGUGUACUGUUCUAAUUAUAAUCUUGUUUGCUUCGUGUAUGUCUGUCUCCGAUUGUUUGCGUGUUGAUAAUCGAUGAUCGGGAUUAGACAGUGGGCAUUACUUCGGGCAUCAAGAUCAGAGCCUUGGAAACAAGUAAGAUCAGCAGGAGCAAUUGGAUCAAGGCAAGUAUAGCAUUUGGGUUUUAAUUCUAUAACUAUGAUCUUGUGACUAGAUUAAUAUAAAGCAACAAAUGAUAAUAAUGACUUUUUAGCAACUUGAGGAUUUAUUCGUAAGUGAUAACCGGGAUGAAAGUGCAACCAUGAGGGCUAUAAUGGCUCUGGCUUUAGUCAAGUAUGAGUAAUUUUUCUAGCUUGUUAGAGGUUACCUGCGUGGCGCAAAUGGG